rnacentral:rRNA from 1 species
CUCGUAGGUGGUUUGUCGCGUUGUUCGUGAAAUCUCACAGCUUAACUGUGAGCGUGCGGGCGAUACGGGCAGACUGGAGUACUGCAGGGGAGACUGGAAUUCCUGGUGUAGCGGUGGAAUGCGCAGAUAUCAGGAGGAACACCGGUGGCGAAGGCGGGUCUCUGGGCAGUAACUGACGCUGAGGAGCGAAAGCGUGGGGAGCGAACA